rfam:Callipepla squamata strain Texas jcf7180005228502, whole genome shotgun sequence.
ACUAAGGCUGUUUUCACAGCCACAGUGCUCUCCUAGAGACUCUCCAU